rnacentral:rRNA from 1 species
UACGUAGGGGGCGAGCGUUGUCCGGAAUUAUUGGGCGUAAAGAGCUCGUAGGCGGCUUGGCAAGUCGGAUGUGAAAACUCCAGGCUCAACCUGGAGCCGCCAUUCGAUACUGCUAUGGCUAGAGUCCGGUAGGGGAGUGUGGAAUUCCCGGUGUAGCGGUGAAAUGCGCAGAUAUCAGGAGGAACACCGGUGGCGAAGGCGGGUCUCUGGGCCGAUACUGACGCUGAGGAGCGAAAGCGUGGGGAGCGAACAGG